GAUAAACAAGAUGCUGCAGCACUUUAAUUAGAGUGGCUCUCAGAGCCAUGUAAAAGUGACCUAAGGGAUUUUCGGUUGGCUACCAGCAUUGCUACAAGAACAAAGGAUAUCCAAACACUUGACAGGCAGCUGCACCACAGUGGUAAUCUGCAUAAUGAGGAUCAAUACAGCCAAGUGAAAAUCACGUCCCAAACAUGAGGGCAGCCAGCAAACAUGACCCUGCAGCUGAAGGCUUCAAGGCAUGUUUGAAACUAUUUUAUCAAAGGAAGAUCAAUGCAAGCUACAGUGCUGGAUGAGACUGAGGACUGGGGCUGGGUAGUGUUCUUACAGGGAAUAGCCGUUAAUAUGCAACUUGCCUGUGAGCCUGGAACAAGGCAGGGAUCACUGGGGAGCGUCUGUUCCCUGUGCUAUGCAAGAGAUUGAACUGAAAAGUCAGAACAGUCCCAAUUGACCUUCAGCUCAGAUGUGAGACACCCAGCUAGGGCACACUGUCAGAGACUGAUUGAAAUCAGUGGAGGAUCAGGCCCAUGAGUUCCUCUUUCUCCAGUUUCUCCUUUCCAUCCUCAGCUGCUAUUCUCUAUUGCAUCAAGGCAGCACUGAGAGCAAAGGAGGGGCCACCCAUUCCCUCUGCCCCCUAAGUUCACUCAUCAUCCAUCCCCAAUUUCCCUUUAGCUAGGGCAAAGACAGGGGAGUAGACAGCUUUAGGCUGAGAGGAGGUGAAGUGAAAUAACCAUACCACUACUCCCAAAACCUCCUGCCAGCCUAAGGAGUCUUCUGCCUUCUUGGGUAUUGGUAUUCUCUGCUUAAAAGCAGCAGGAGAGAUGACCCAAAGAAUUCCUGUCCUACAAAGGCUCCUACCAAUGGGGCCAGGUCUGAAGGCUCCAUGUGGUUCCCCAUCUCUUUAUGGCUGCUUUUUCUUUGAAUGAUCAAGGAGCUGCUAAAGGCACAUUCUUCACAGCCUAUCCAGGAGACCAGCCAUCAAGCAACCCUCAGUAAGAAGUGGGAAAGAGGAGCGCUCAUGAGAAGGAAUGCUUUGAAGCUAUGCAAUUAAAACAGUACAAAAAACAAGACAGAACUGCCAGGAAGGUGUGUGGAGUCCAGAGAAGAUCAAGAAGCCAUCCUGCUACCCACCGACCAGUGAAGGACCCAUGCUCUGUAAAGCUGUACAAGAACUGCUUCCUGCUUGCAUUGGGUAAAGUUCUCUUUGCAGCUAAGAUAAUACAAGGACUGUAAUAGGUCAUUUGAACACUAAGAAAAAGCCUUUUGUUUUUCUGUCAGUUAGUUUUCUAAUUGCUAGUAAUUAAAGCAAGCCUUUCUGCUAUUCAUCAACUGAGCGUUGUGUCAAUUCUUAAAGCACUAGGUUUAGAAAUUCCAUUUCUAAGUGCAAAAAUGCUUUCUCCUGCUCCCACAUUUCUGUCUCCUGUUGUCAUCCUGAGGUUUCAAAGUACUGACACCCUUACAGCAAACUCUUCCACAAUUUGGGGCAGUUCUGGGUGAUAGCCUCCCAUGAGUUGAAGUUGAUGUUGCAUUUUUGAAGCUGGCCUUGAGGACAUCUUUGAAGAGCUUUCUCUGCCCUCUUCUUCAGCCUAUUCCUUGACUGAGCUGGGAGAAUAAAACUUGCUUUGGAAGCCUGGAGUAAGACAUCUGGAUGACAUGGCUGGUCCAACAAAGUUAAUGUUGAAUGAUUGUUGCCUCUGCUCAUGGUAUUUGUUGUGAAAGAAUGCUAAUGUUGGUGCAUUUGCCUUCUCACUGGAUUUAAAGAAUCUUCCGAAGGUAGCAUUGAUAGUAUUUCUCCAGCAACUUGAGAUGUCUCAGCUCUGUACAGUAAGGCAGCAAUCACAACUGCUGAUCAUAAUAUAGGUAGGUGUAGAUAAGACUUCUUACAUGUAUUGGAUUCUGUACUGAAUGUGCCAAUAAGUGGUGCUUCUGGAACUAAAUGCUGAAUAUACAAAUCCAACUGGAGAGGGCCUGCUGAGAAUUAUGCAGCAUACAGCAUACCUAAUUCCAGUAGCAAAUUGUCAGGCAUGCAAUGGUAUUUUAUAAAGCUCCAUGUUUUCGGGUGGGGGGUGGGGUGGAAUUUAAUUAACUGCCUGAAUUAUAAGAAAUCUGUGCUAGCCAUUUCUAUUGAUCAGCAAUGGGUUUAGCACCCUGCAGUACCUGCACCACAGCAUGCACUGUGUCACCUUUCAUGUGGUCCGUGACAUCAGAACCCUGCAGAACCUGUACUACUUGAUCUUCUCUAUACUUUAAUGCUGCUGUCUUUGAAUCUCAGUUGUAGUAUGCAGACUCUCCAGGGAGGGAUUUUCACUCCUCCUGUUGCUGCUGCCUUCCUCCUCUCCGUUUCAUUCUUGUGGUAUAUCUGACUAGCUAGUGGAACACAUGAGAUGACCAGGAUAUCUGCUGCUCUUUUCUCUUUUCUAUCUGCUUCACUUCUACCUGCUCCCAAAAAUCCCAGA